rnacentral:rRNA from 1 species
UAUCGUGGUGGGAGACAGUGUCAGGCGGGCAGUUUGACUGGGGCGGUCGCCUCCUAAAAGGUAACGGAGGCGCUCAAAGGUUCCCUCAGAAUGGUUGGAAAUCAUUCAUAGAGUGUAAAGGUAUAAGGGAGCUUGACUGCGAGACCUACAAGUCGAGCAGGGUCGAAAGACGGACUUAGUGAUCCGGUGGUUCCGCAUGGAAGGGCCAUCGCUCAACGGAUAAAAGCU